GGAGGGGUGCGUGAGUGGCUUAAACGGCUCGCCUGGAAAGCGUGUGUCCUUUAACCGGGACCGAGAGUUCGAAUCUCUCCCCCUCCGCCA
rnacentral:tRNA from 1 species